UAAAGUCUUAAGUUAAACAAUAAACUAGUAGCCUUCAAAGUUGAAAAUAAUUUAGAUUUU
rnacentral:tRNA from 1 species